rnacentral:rRNA from 1 species
GACAGAGGAUGCAAACGUUGCUCGGAAUUACUGGGCGUAAAGCGCGUGUAGGCGGUCUGGUAAGUCGGACGUGAAAUCCCAGGGCUCAACUCUGGACAGGCGGUGGAAACUACCAAGCUGGAGUACGGUAGGGGCAGAGGGAAUUUCCGGUGGAGCGGUGAAAUGCGUAGAGAUCGGAAGGAACACCAGUGGCGAAAGCGGCUUCCUGGUCCAGCACCGACGUCAGGCACGAAAGCGUGGGGAGCAAACAGG